rnacentral:rRNA from 1 species
UGCCAGCAGCCGCGGUAAUACGGAGGGUGCAAGCGUUGUUCGGAUUUACUGGGCGUAAAGGGCGCGUAGGCGGCAAGGCAAGUUAAGGGUGAAAUCCCGGGGCUUAACCCCGGAACUGCUCUUAAAACUGCUUCGCUAGAGACAAUCAGAGGUGGGUGGAAUUCCUGGUGUAGAGGUGAAAUUCGUAGAUAUCAGGAGGAACACCGGCGGCGAAGGCGGCCCACUGGGAUUGUUCUGACGCUAAGGCGCGAAAGCGUGGGGAGCAAACGGGAUUAGAUA